rnacentral:rRNA from 1 species
GAUGAACGCUGGCGGCGUGCUUAACACAUGCAAGUCGAACGAAGCUGUUGUUUGGAGACCUUCGGGUGGAAGAAUAACAGACUGAGUGGCGGACGGGUGAGUAACGCGUGGGUAACCUACCUUGCACAGGGGGACAACAGUUGGAAACGACUGCUAAUACCGCAUAAGACCACAGUACCGCAUGGUACAGGGGUAAAAACUGAGGUGGUGCAAGAUGGACCCGCGUCUGAUUAGCUAGUUGGUGGGGUAAAGGCCUACCAAGGCGACGAUCAGUAGCCGACCUGAGAGGGUGAUCGGCCACAUUGGGACUGAGACACGGCCCAAACUCCUACGGGAGGCAGCAGUGGGGAAUAUUGGACAAUGGGGGAAACCCUGAUCCAGCGACGCCGCGUGAGUGAAGAAGUAUUUCGGUAUGUAAAGCUCUAUCAGCAGGGAAGAAAAUGACGGUACCUGACUAAGAAGCCCCGGCUAACUACGUGCCAGCAGCCGCGGUAAUACGUAGGGGGCAAGCGUUAUCCGGAUUUACUGGGUGUAAAGGGAGCGCAGACGGCUUGGCAAGUCUGAAGUGAAAGCCCGGGGCUUAACCCCGGGACUGCUUUGGAAACUGUGAAGCUAGAGUGUCGGAGAGGUAAGUGGAAUUCCCAGUGUAGCGGUGAAAUGCGUAGAUAUUGGGAGGAACACCGGUGGCGAAGGCGGCUUACUGGACGAUAACUGACGUUGAGGCUCGAAGGCGUGGGGAGCAAACAGG